rnacentral:rRNA from 1 species
UCGAGAAUUUUUCACAAUGGGCGAAAGCCUGAUGGAGCGACGCCGCGUGGGGGAUGAAUGGCUUCGGCCCGUAAACCCCUGUCAUUCGCGAGCAAUGCCUUCCCGAUAAUACCGGGACGGUUGAUCGUAGCGAAGGAGGAAGGGACGGCUAACUCUGCGCCAGCAGCCGCGGUAAUACAGAGGUCCCAAGCGUUGUUCGGAUUCACUGGGCGUAAAGGGUGCGUAGGUGGUGAGGUAAGUUCGAUGUGAAAUCUCCGGGCUCAACCCGGAGAAGGGAUUGAAUAAUGGCUUGGUCGGAGUCUGGAGGGGGGAGUGGAAUUCUCGGUGUAGCAGUGAAAUGCGUAGAUAUCGAGAGGAACACCGGUGGCGAAGGCGAGUCCCUGGAAAACACCUGAAACUGAGGCACGAAAGCUAGGGGAG